UAGGUUUAAGAGGAAGGCCUGGUGGAAGU
rnacentral:piRNA from 1 species